rnacentral:rRNA from 1 species
GACGAACGCUGGCGGCGUGCUUAACACAUGCAAGUCGAGCGAGGCCCCUUCCUUCGGGAAGGGUGUCCUAGCGGCGAACGGGUGAGUAACACGUGGGCAACCUGCCCUCAGCACGGGAAGUAACUCCGGGAAACCGGGGCUAAUACCCGAUACGACCUCCGCGGGCAUCCGUGGAGGUGGAAAGUGUCAGUGGCUGAGGAUGGGCCCGCGGCCUAUCAGCUUGUUGGUGGGGUAACGGCCUACCAAGGCGACGACGGGUAGCCGGCCUGAGAGGGCGACCGGCCACACUGGGACUGAGACACGGCCCAGACUCCUACGGGAGGCAGCAGUGGGGAAUAUUGCGCAAUGGGCGAAAGCCUGACGCAGCGACGCCGCGUGAGGGACGAAGGCCUU